UACGAAGGGGGCUAGCGUUGCUCGGAAUCACUGGGCGUAAAGGGUGCGUAGGCGGGUUUUUAAGUCAGGGGUGAAAUCCCGGGGCUCAACCCCGGAACUGCCUCUGAAACUGCAGUGCUAGAAUCUUGGAGAGGCGAGUGGAAUUCCGAGUGUAGAGGUGAAAUUCGUAGAUAUUCGGAAGAACACCAGUGGCGAAGGCGACUCGCUGGACAAGUAUUGACGCUGAGGUGCGAAAGCGUGGGGGAGCAAACAGG
rnacentral:rRNA from 1 species